AUUGAACGCUGGCGGCAGGCCUAACACAUGCAAGUCGAGCGGCAGCGACUUAACUGAACCUUCGGGGAACGUUAAGGGCGGCGAGCGGCGGACGGGUGAGUAAUGCCUGGGAAUAUGCCCUGAUGUGGGGGAUAACUAUUGGAAACGAUAGCUAAUACCGCAUAAUCUCUUCGGAGCAAAGAGGGGGACCUUCGGGCCUCUCGCGUCAGGAUUAGCCCAGGUGGGAUUAGCUUGUUGGUGAGGUAAUGGCUCACCAAGGCAACGAUCCCUAGCUGGUCUGAGAGGAUGAUCAGCCACACUGGAACUGAGACACGGUCCAGACUCCUACGGGAGGCAGCAGUGGGGAAUAUUGCACAAUGGGGGAAACCCUGAUGCAGCCAUGCCGCGUGUGUGAAGAAGGCCUUCGGGUUGUAAAGCACUUUCAGUAGGGAGGAAGGUAGUGUAGUUAACACCUGCACUAUUUGACGUUACCUACAGAAGAAGCACCGGCUAACUCCGUGCCAGCAGCCGCGGUAAUACGGAGGGUGCGAGCGUUAAUCGGAAUUACUGGGCGUAAAGCGCAUGUAGGCGGCCUGUUAAGUCAGAUGUGAAAGCCCGGGGCUUAACCUCGGAAUUGCAUUUGAAACUGGCAGGCUAGAGUCUUGUAGAGGGGGGUAGAAUUUCAGGUGUAGCGGUGAAAUGCGUAGAGAUCUGAAGGAAUACCAGUGGCGAAGGCGGCCCCCUGGACAAAGACUGACGCUCAGAUGCGAAAGCGUGGGGAGCAAACAGG
rnacentral:rRNA from 1 species